UUAGUGGCGGACGGGUGAGUAACGCGUAAGAAUCUAGCUCCAGGCUCGGGACAACAGAGGGAAACUUCUGCUAAUACCGGAUGUGCCCAACGGUGAAAGAUUUAUCACCUGGAGAUGAGCUUGCGUCUGAUUAGCUAGAUGGUGGGGUAAAAGCCUACCAUGGCGACAAUCAGUAACUGGUCUGAGAGGAUGACCAGUCACACUGGCACUGAGACACUGGCCAGACACCUACGGGUGGCUGCAGUCGAGAAUCUUCGGCAAUGGACGCAAGUCUGACCGAGCGACGCCGCGUGCGGGAUGAAGGCCUUCGGGUUGUAAACCGCUGUCGUAGGGAAUCAAAUGCAUGAGGGUACUCCCUUAUGUUUGAGAGAUCCUAGGAGGAAGGGGAGGCUAAGCUCGUGCCAGCAGCCGCGGUAAGACGAGCUCCCCAAACGUUAUUCGGUAUUACUGGGCUUAAAGAGUUCGUAGGCGGCUCUGUAGGUGAGAUGUGAAAGCCCUCGGCUUAACCGAGGAACUGCGUUUCAAACCACAGGGCUUGAGGGAGAUAGGGGUAAGCGGAACAGAUGGUGGAGCGGUGAAAUGCAUUGAUAUCAUC
rnacentral:rRNA from 1 species